AUCCAGGGCCUGAACCUUGGCCUGUCUUUCUCUGAGCUGAAGGGUAAUGUGGAGGUGGCAGGAGUGCCGUGCACCCCACAGGAAGAUGGAUACAUCACUGCAGAGCAGAUUGUGUGUGAGAUGGCUGCAGCUCCUGAAGGCAGAACGCCAGGUCCAGUUAAACUGUGCGUUGGUGAAUGCAGACCAGAGCUAAGUGCUCAGUCCUCGCAUCUCUACUCCUUUGUGACCCCUAUCAUGUUGGCACUGACCCCAAGCAGAGGGCCUGAAUCAGGAGGUACCAAAGUCACCAUCGUCGGAGAGAAUCUGAGUGCAGGCA